GACGAACGCUGGCGGCGUGCUUAACACAUGCAAGUCGAGCGAUGAAGUUCCUUCGGGAAUGGAUCAGCGGCGGACGGGUGAGUAACACGUGGGUAACCUGCCUCAUAGAGGGGAAUGGCCUUUCGAAAGGAAGAUUAAUACCGCAUAAGAUUGUAGUAUCGCAUGAUACAGCAAUUAAAGGAGUAAUCCGCUAUGAGAUGGACCCGCGUCGCAUUAGCUAGUUGGUGAGGUAACGGCUCACCAAGGCGACGAUGCGUAGCCGACCUGAGAGGGUGAUCGGCCACAUUGGGACUGAGACACGGCCCAGACUCCUACGGGAGGCAGCAGUGGGGAAUAUUGCACAAUGGGGGAAACCCUGAUGCAGCAACGCCGCGUGAGUGAUGACGGUCUUCGGAUUGUAAAACUCUGUCUUCAGGGACGAUAAUGACGGUACCUGAGGAGGAAGCCACGGCUAACUACGUGCCAGCCGCCGCAGUAA
rnacentral:rRNA from 1 species